UCAGGAUGAACGCUAGCUACAGGCUUAACACAUGCAAGUCGAGGGGUAGCAGGGUAGCAAUACCGCUGACGACCGGCGACGACGGGUGACGUAACACGUAUCCAACCUUCCCAUAACUCAGGGAUAGCCUUUCGAAAGAAAGAUUAAUACCUGAUAGUACUUUUUCAAGGCAUCUUGAAAAAGUUAAAGAUUUAUUGGUUAUGGAUGGGGAUGCGUUCCGAUUAGAUAGUUGGUGAGGUAACGGCUCACCAAGUCUUCGAUGGAUAGGGGUUCUGAGAGGAAGGUCCCCCACAUUGGUACUGAGACACGGACCAAACUCCUACGGGAGGCAGCAGUGAGGAAUAUUGGUCAAUGGGCGAGAGCCUGAACCAGCCAAGUAGCGUGAAGGAAUGAAGGUCCUAUGGAUUGUAAACUUCUUUUAUAGUAGAAUAAAGUGAGCCACGUGUGGUUUUUUGUAUGUAUACUAUGAAUAAGGAUCGGCUAACUCCGUGCCAGCCGCUGC
rnacentral:rRNA from 1 species